rnacentral:rRNA from 1 species
CCUACGGGAGGCAGCAGUGGGGAAUAUUGGGCAAUGGAGGAAACUCUGACCCAGCAAUGCCGCGUGAAUGAAGAAGGUCUUCGGAUUGUUAAGUUCUUUAGUCCGGGAAGAAUAAAAUGACGGUACCUGAAGAAUAAGCUCCGGCUAACUACGUGCCAGCAGCCGCGGUAAUACGUAGGGAGCAAGCGUUGUUCGGAAUGACUGGGUGUAAAGGGUGCGUAGGGGGUUAUACAAGUUAGAAGGGAAAUACCCAGGGCUUAACUCGGGUGCCGCCUCUAAAACUGGAAGACUUGAGUGGAGGAGAGGUAAGUGGAAUGCCUGGUGUAGCGGUGGAAUGCAUAGAUAUUAGGCAGAACACCGGAGGCGAAGGCAGCAAGCUGGAUUCCAACUGACGCUGAAGCACGAAAGCGUGGGGAGCGAACAGGAUUAGAUACCCCGGUAGUC